GCAACUCGCCUACACGAAGUUGGAAUUGCUAGUGAUCGUGGAUCAGCAUGCCACGGUGAAUACGUUCCCGGGUCUUGUACACACCGCCCGUCACACCAUGGGAGCUGGUAACACCCGAAGUCAGUAGUCUAACCGCAAGGAGGACGCUGCCGAAGGUGGGAUUAGCGACUGGGGUGAAGUCGUAACAAGGUAUC
rnacentral:rRNA from 1 species